rnacentral:rRNA from 1 species
UUUAUGGAGAGUUUGAUCCUGGCUCAGGAUGAACGCUGGCGGCGUGCCUAAUACAUGCAAGUCGAGCGAACUGACGAGGAGCUUGCUCCUUUGACGUUAGCGGCGGACGGGUGAGUAACACGUGGGUAACCUACCUAUAAGACUGGAAUAACUCCGGGAAACCGGGGCUAAUGCCGGAUAACAUGUUGAACCGCAUGGUUCAACAGUGAAAGACGGUUUUGCUGUCACUUAUAGAUGGACCCGCGCCGUAUUAGCUAGUUGGUAAGGUAACGGCUUACCAAGGCGACGAUACGUAGCCGACCUGAGAGGGUGAUCGGCCACACUGGAACUGAGACACGGUCCAGACUCCUACGGGAGGCAGCAGUAGGGAAUCUUCCGCAAUGGGCGAAAGCCUGACGGAGCAACGCCGCGUGAGUGAUGAAGGUCUUCGGAUCGUAAAGCUCUGUUGUUAGGGAAGAACAUAUGUGUAAGUAACUGUGCACAUCUUGACGGUACCUAACCAGAAAGCCACKGCUAACUACGUGCCAG